rnacentral:rRNA from 1 species
UACGUAGGGGGCUAGCGUUGUCCGGAUUUAUUGGGCGUAAAGAGCGUGUAGGCGGCCAGGUAGGUCUGGUGUGAAAACUCGAGGCUUAACCUCGAGAUGUCAUCGGAAACCAUUUGGCUAGAGUCCGGAAGAGGAGAGUGGAAUUCCUGGUGUAGCGGUGAACUGCGCAGAUAUCAGGAAGAACACCAAUGGCGAAAGCAGCUCUCUGGGACGGUACCGACGCUGAGACGCGAAAGCGUGGGGAGCGAACAGG